UGCAAGUCGAGCGCGAAAGCCUUUCGGGGUGAGUAGAGCGGCGGACGGGUGAGUAACGCGUAGGAAUCUACCUGGUAGUGGGGGACAACUUGGGGAAACUCAAGCUAAUACCGCAUACGCCCCAAGGGGGAAAGCGGGGGAUCUUCGGACCUCGCGCUAUCGGAUGAGCCUGCGUAGGAUUAGCUUGUUGGUGAGGUAAAGGCUCACCAAGGCGACGAUCCUUAGCCGGUCUGAGAGGAUGAUCAGCCACACUGGAACUGAGACACGGUCCAGACUCCUACGGGAGGCAGCAGUGGGGAAUAUUGCGCAAUGGGGGCAACCCUGACGCAGCCAUGCCGCGUGUGUGAAGAAGGCCUUAGGGUUGUAAAGCACUUUCAAUUGGGAAGAAAAGCUCAUCGUUAAUAGCGGUGAGCCCUGACAUUACCUUUAGAAGAAGCACCGGCUAACUCCGUGCCAGCAGCCACGGUAAUACGGAGGGUGCGAGCGUUAAUCGGAAUUACUGGGCGUAAAGCGCGCGUAGGCGGUUUGUUAAGUCAGCUGUGAAAGCCCUGGGCUCAACCUGGGAACUGCAGUUGAUACUGGCCGACUAGAGUACGAGAGAGGGAGGUAGAAUUCCAUGUGUAGCGGUGAAAUGCGUAGAUAUAUGGAGGAAUACCAGUGGCGAAGGCGGCCUCCUGGCUCGAUACUGACGCUGAGGUGCGAAAGCGUGGGGAUCAAACAGGGUUAGAUACCCCGGUAGUCCACGCCGUAAACGAUGUCUACUA
rnacentral:rRNA from 1 species